CACCUGAAAGUUUAAUACACAUACAGGUCACUUAGGAUCUUAUUAAAGUGACAUUCAUAUUCAGCAAGUCUGGGGCAGGGUCCUGAGUUUUGCACGCCUGCCACCUUUCAGAUGUUGAUGCUCAGGGGACACACUUUACCAGAUUCCUGUUCUUCUGUGAACCAAACAGCACAAAGGAAGGUUCCUGAGCAGCCAGAAGGAGACAGUGGAGUGGAAGGAAGAGAUUUCACUGGUGCCCUAGACAUGAAACUAUAAUACCUAUGGUCCUCAUGCUUAAAUGAUGAAAAAUUCUAGGUUAAAGAAGUCUAAAUCUUCCAAUUCUACUAUAAGGUGAGUUUUAUAAAAGUUAUUAAACUAGAGAUUAUU